AGGGUGCAGAGGGGUCACCGAGGGCCCCGUCCACCAGGACCUCCGAGGGGCUGGGUGCGGCGGAGAGAGAAGUAUCUCAGGAGACUGCAGGACUCGGUUUACAUCCGGUUUAAUCUGUACUUGAAGGUGUGGGAUGUUAGUGGGAAAGAGGCAGAGGAUGAGGGGCCUGGCGGCGGACAGCAGCGCUGCCUGCCCCUGGGACUGGCCUGGGGCCCCCGAGAGUGAGUAAUGACAGAGGAGGGCGCUGUCCGAGAAGGCAGAGAAUCGCCGGGGUGCAUCCCCGGGGGGACCUUGCUGACCCCCCCAGCCUGGAGGACCCCA